rnacentral:tRNA from 1 species
GCAUUGGUGGCUCAGUGGUAGAAUUCUCCCAUUGCAUGCGAGAGACCUGGGUUCACUUUCCAGCCAAUGUA